GACCUGGGCAACCCCAUCCUGGAGGUGCCGGGGUCGGAGCUCCCAGAGGGCUGGGUGCGAGGCCUAGGCGGGGUCAGGUUCGGGUUCCUAGGCCAUAGCGGAGCUGCAGCCCAGGCGGCCGGAGCGGAACCCAGCCCCGCUCCGAGUGCCACGUCUCCAGGAACCCCCUCCUUACUCUUGGACAACACUCCGCCCCCGCCCGGGCCUCCGUCCCCCAAACCGCCCUCAUUUGUGCAGCGCCAGAUCCUUCGGACACAUCCCUAGGUGUCUCCAUCCUCGUUCGGUCCAUCCAACUCCCAGACCUCACGUCAACCGGCUGCAUCCCACUUUCCAGCCUGCGCCCCAGAUCUGCAGCCUUCGCCCCUAGAUACACCCGCCUGGUGAUGAGGCGCUCCUCGCGUUCCUUCCGUCUCCAGUGCACCGGCUUUCCCUCGUCCUCUGCGCAGUCCAUCUCAGCUCAUCUCUCCAAUUCAAUGCCAUCAUCUCUCCUCACCAUCUCUCGGUGCCCUGGAAUGUUUGCUGUCAUAUGUCCCCUGUGAAACCCACAAACGCUUGCGAUUUGGCCUUCUUGUUUUAUUUUGUGUAGUCCUACAACGUCUUGUUACUACCCCCUAUUACAACACUUAUAACUCAG
rnacentral:antisense_RNA from 1 species